rnacentral:misc_RNA from 1 species
AAGUUAACGAGUGCUCCUCCUGCCCAUUAACCUCAUAACUUCACUGUUUUGAUACAAAUUCUCAGCAUCAAAGUUCAAUACAAACUGAAAGUUAGCCUAGCCAAAUAUAUACACUAAUUCUGCAAAUAUUUUUGAUCCAAAAUUCUCAAUACAUCACAAAUGACACAUUUCUAAUCAGCCUCAUAAAAUUCAAAUUGAAUUCCAUAAACAGUCUAAAUUUCAACAAAUUGUUGAAGAAAACAAGCUCUGACGAGAAAUUAGAUAUAGCGUA